rnacentral:rRNA from 1 species
UGCGUAGGCGGCCUAUUAAGUCAGUGGUGAAAGGUAUCAGCUUAACUGAUGACGUGCCAUUGAAACUGAGAGGCUUGAGUACAGGCGAGGUAGGCGGAAUUUAUGGUGUAGCGGUGAAAUGCAUAGAUACCAUAAAGAACACCGAUAGCGAAGGCAGCUUACUAGACUGUAACUGACGCUGAGGCACGAAAGCGUGGGGAGCGAACAGGAUUAGAUACCCUGGUAGUCC